UUUCAGUCAGUUGUUGUUUGAUCUAUUUUACAGUUUAAAAUGUAGUAUGGUAUCUGAUGUGUUUAUUCUGUAGUUUCGUAUGCAUGAAUCACGAUUUCAUUCAUUAUGGUUUAAAUUAUUGUGAAUUCGAUGUUGUGUUGUCUUGUUUGGUGUUCAUUACUGGUUUACGUGUUUAUGUUUGAUUGGAUAAUUGAGACCAAGAAAAAUGAAAAAAGGUAUGUGAAUUGAUAAAUGGAUGAUGUCGACAGCCUAACUAGGUAUCCUAGGAGAUGG
rnacentral:lncRNA from 1 species